AAGAAGAGAGGGGAGAAGCCAAGCAUGUAUAUAAAUGUAAAGAAAGGUAAGCACACAGGUGAGCAGACCGAUUGGUACACAGGUAUAGACAGGUGAGUAAACAGGAAAUAGACAGGUGAGUAAACAGGAAAUAGACAGGUGAGUAAACACUAGGUUGUUAGACAGGUUAUAUAACACAGUUAUGUAGACAGGUAAACAGACAGGUGAGUACUCAUAGACAUGUGUGAACACAGGUGAAUAGAGAGGUACCUGUAGGUGUCUGAGCUGGUUGAGUUGCAGUCUCAGCUCACACACAUUUCUUUUCGC